UUCUCACCGCAACCGCUCGUAUCAGGUGUUUAACAGGUUUACAUAUAACCGACCUGCAAUGGCGAGUCUAGGCAUGGGA
rfam:Desulfosporosinus orientis DSM 765, complete genome.